GCACAGAACAGAUGCAAACCAAGGAGGCUGGAAGAUAAGAGCAGAGCCAUCAGGACACGAGCCCCUCGCGGGUAUGAAACAGGAGUCGUGGGAGCAAAUUAAGCUUCCUGUGUGCAGCAUGGAUCUAAAGCUGGUGGAUGCAGGGGGGUGAACAAGACAACAUCUUCACUUCCUGCAUGCUGAUGGCAGAAGUGAGACAUCAGCGAAGAA
rnacentral:lncRNA from 1 species